AUGCACGCUGGCGGCGUGCCUAAUACAUGCAAGUCGGGCGCACAGACGAGGAGCUUGCUCCUCUGACGUUAGCGGCGGACGGGUGAGUAACACGUGGAUAACCUACCUAUAAGACUGGGAUAACUUCGGGAAACCGGAGCUAAUACCGGAUAAUAUAUUGAACCGCAUGGUUCAAUAGUGAAAGACGGUUUUGCUGUCACUUAUAGAUGGAUCCGCGCCGCAUUAGCUAGUUGGUAAGGUAACGGCUUACCAAGGCAACGAUGCGUAGCCGACCUGAGAGGGUGAUCGGCCACACUGGAACUGAGACACGGUCCAGACUCCUACGGGAGGCAGCAGUAGGGAAUCUUCCGCAAUGGGCGAAAGCCUGACGGAGCAACGCCGCGUGAGUGAUGAAGGUCUUCGGAUCGUAAAACUCUGUUAUUAGGGAAGAACAAAUGUGUAAGUAACUAUGCACGUCUUGACGGUACCUAAUCAGAAAGCCACGGCUAACUACGUG
rnacentral:rRNA from 1 species